rnacentral:lncRNA from 10 species
AUUGGGCUCUCUUCAUUUCCCUUUAAAUAAGGAGGACUGAUGGGACUGGCGAGUCUCCUGUUUGAUCAGGAGCAAUUUUAAAAAGCUACUAGGGUGGACCAUCUUUGAAGAUGUAAUUACCUCAUAAGUUCUAUUUAGAUUGUCUGUAUUUAUCUAUGUUUUUCAAAAAUAAUCAAAGUAAUAUAUGCUUGUGGUAAUUCAAAUAAUGCUGAAAAAUACAAAAUAAAAGUUUCUCUCCUGCCCAGCCUAAUCUUACUUCCUAAGGAUAACCAUUAUCAAGAGUUUAUUAUAUAUUUUUCUAGAUGUAUUUUUAUGUCUGUACAAACAUCUGUGUAUAUAUUUAUUAUAAAUACACACAUAUAGUAUUUUUCCCACAAAAAAUGAGCUCUAUUAAUUUACCAAAGACUUAUAUUUCCAUUCCCAUCCCAUCAUUCAUCAAUUUGUCAUGGAUUAUUCUCCAAGGCAGCCCAAACAGAUCUAACUCAUGUUUUAAAUGACCAUAUACUGUGUUAUGUAGUAAAUCAAAAUUUAUUUGGUAAUUACCCUAUUGUUGGUAAUUUAGAUCAUUGCCAAUUUCUCCUAUUUGAUAAUUCAGCAAAGAGCGACAUGACAUAUAUAAUUUACACACUUCUAUAAUUGCUUCUCAAGGAUAGAUUCUAGAAGUAAAUUCGCCAGGUCAGGGAAUUUAAGUAUUCCCAGUGCAUAAAAGUGCCUAUUUGCCCGAACCUACUAAAACAAGUAAAAAGAAAUUUAAAUGACUAAUAAUAGAGACACAAAUGAAAUAAUUAUGGUGCUAUAAUAGAUUAGUUAUAUGAUAUUAAUAGAUACAUUAUUGCAUAAAUACUAAAAUAUUAAGCUUAAAGGAAGUUUUAAAUGUGAAAAUGUUUAUAACAUACAGGGUAAAUAGUAGAAUGCUUUGUAUAUAAAAUUAUGUGUGUAUAAUUUCUACUACUAGUUCCUACUACUAGUUAUGUGUGUAUAAUUUCUACUACUAGUUUCAUUGCUGAAACUAGUAGUGUGACAUAAUUAUGUUUCCUUUCCUUUCCCCUGGAGCCAAUAAUUUUGUCAAUUAUUCAUUCACUUGUCUUCUAAAUGCGAUUUCACAUAUUCCAAUGCUUGUCAGAUAAUCUGAGUGCCAUUUUGAAUUUAUUUCCAGAAAUCUUUACUCUCCUGCUCCAAUCUUGACUGGUUGCCUUGUAGUUCCAUUUUAUGCUUCGUUACUCUGGCACUUUCUUUUGAUAUUUUCCUGGGAAAUCUCCUCAGCUGUCUUCUCUGUGGAAGCCCAUGUUUCCAGAAUCCUAGCUUCUUCUUUACUGAUUUUCUCCCUAUUUGAGAAUUUACAUGCCUGAAAAUGGCUUUGAAUCUGUAGCAUAUUCUCAGGGGUCAUUCAGUUUCUGUCUUGAAAGUUUCUCAAAGUCUUGUCCCUGGGAUGUGUGUGUGUCUGGCUGCGAGUAUUUGGGGACAGGGAAUGAGGGCUGGCAGGGAUUGGGGGUGUGUUUCUCUGGUAAAUAUAUAGAUUCCACCUAAUCCACCUAUUUUCAGUCCCAUAUCUCCUCUUGAAUCUUUCUGUUCCCAUUGUCUGUAAGCCUAAAUUCUUUGUGAUUCAUGUUCUGUAAGGAAUAAAUCUCAAGUCUGAGAAUUUGGAAGGGGAUGUUGAGGCUUUUCAGGGUCUAACCACCUCUUACACAGAAUUUCCAAUGAUUCUCUUAAUUCCAGACCUGGGCUUUGUACUCCCUUUCUGCAAAACCCAAUUCUUGAGCCUUUGCAGCUUGGUUCUGUUUCCUCCUUCUAAAGAAACAGGUUCAGCUUCCUCUAUUCCCCUGAGUAAUCAAGCUUUCCAUCCUCCAAAAUACACUGAUGUUUCCUGACCCCCUGUGUCUUCUCUCCUGUAAUUUUGAUUCUUUUAGGCCUAUAUAUUUUAAAUAUUAUUAUUGUCAUAUUAAUAGGCAUUCAGGAGAGAAUAGAAGUGAUACAUCUAUUCAAUUCACCAGGUCAAACCAGAAAUCUCCAUUUCUAUUUAAAUAAUCCUGUGGCAUUAUCUUUUUCUUUUCUUUUUCUUUCUAUUAAGAAAUUUUUUUCAAAGAUAAUUUUGGCAGAAAUAUAAGUAAUGAAUUAAGACAUUAUCUUUUAUUUCAAAACAUAGUGAUUAAAAUAAGAGUAGCAUUUUGAUUCUUUGAGCUAUUUUGAACAUGGGAUUUUUAGUUGGUCACAGAUGACUUUUUAUUGUUCCCCUGAAUAUCCCUUUCUUCCACUAUGCCUCUUCAUAAUCAGUUUGUUACAUCAGUUCAAAUGCAACAUUGCUAUGUCUCUGUGAGUAUCAUCUCUUCCUAAAUCCUUCAAUUUCUCCAAAAUUACAUUUCUCAGGAAAUUCACUUUAGUUGUCAUAACUUCUCCAUAUCGUUCUAUUUGUGUAGAACACAGUGACUGUAGCAAAGCUGUCAGAGUAAAAACAAGACAAUAGUUAGCUUACUAGUUCUUGUACCUGUAACUCCCAGAAUUUUAUAGUGAAUUUCUUUUAAAAUCCUCCACUUGAAUAUCUGCCUUCAUCUCUGACGUUGUCUGCAUUUAGUACAGGAAGCAAGGAAAGGAGAAAGGAUAGAUAAUAUUGUGUUAAUUAAUAUGUUCAUGUUGGGCUGGGUACAUUGGCUCACGCCUAUAAUCCCAACAUUUUGGAAGAUCAGGGCCAAAGGAUUGCUUGAGGCCAGGCGUUUGAGACCAGCCUGGGCAAUGUAACAAGACUCUGUCUUUACAAAAAAUAAAAAUAAAAAAUUAGCUGGGCAUAAUGACCCAUACCUGUAGCCUAGCUACUUGGGAGGCUGAGGUGAGAGGAUUGCUUGAAACCAGGAGUUGAAGGUUACAGUGAGCUAUGAUUGCGCCACUCAACCCCAGACUGGGUGACAUAGUGAGACCUUGUCUCUAAAGAAAAGUACCAUAUUGAUAUAAAAAUAAGAUAAUGAUAAAUAGUUGAUGUAAAAUAUAAAUAAUUAAUAUUCACAAAAUUAAACACAGAAACAAGUAACCAAAAGAAUUUCCCACAUACCAACAACUAGUAUAGUAUAGUACUUUGGCAAUAUUUCUAUUAUUUUAGAGAGAUAGAUUGUCUCUAUAUACUGUUUACAUAGAAAAAGUUUCAAGUUUUGGAUACCAAACAAUUGAUGUUAUUUAAUUUUUUCACUGAAUUGACUCUUAGUGAUGUAUAAACAUCAUUAAAUUUGCUCUACUUUUCAUACUUUUUGAGUUCAGUUUCAUGCAUGGUGGGCUUAAGUUAGCUGUGUGUAUAUGCUCAUUCCUAUAAAAGAGUUGACACUGAAAAAUUAAAAUUUCACUCAAUCAUUGACUUAUAACAGUUCUUUUAUUAUAUACCUUAUAGUGAAGCUGUCCUUGAACAAACUGGCUGCUCAAUAUAUAUUUAAUUGAGUUUUUAAAAUUUGUUUAGGGAUGUUGGUACAUAAAAACUGGCAAACUAUACGGGAAGUUGUACAAGCUAGUUGUACAUAUAUCAUGUAAGAAUGAUUUUUUGUAUAAUGACUUCUUUUUCUCUGGGUAGACACACAGUAGUGAGAUUCCUGGAUCAAAUGGUAAUUCUACUUUUAGUUUUUUUUAAGGAAUCUCCACACUGCAAUUGCAAAAAUAUGGAACCAGCCCAAACACCCAUCAAUUAAUGAUUGGAUAAGGAAAUUGUGGUGUAUAUGUAUAUACCAUGGAAUACUACUCAGCCAUAAAAAGGAAUGAAUUAAUGGCAUUUACAACAACCUGGAUGGAACUGGAGACUAUCAUUCUAAGUGAAGUAACUCAGGAAUGGAAAACAAACCUCGUAUGUUCUCACUCAUAAGUGAGAGCUAAGCUACCAGGAUACAAAGGCAUAAGAAUGAUACGAUGGACUUUGGGGAUUUGGGGGAAAGUGUGGGAGAGAGGUGAGGGAUAAAAGACUACAAAUUAGGUUCAGUGUAUACUGCUCAGGUGAUGGGUGCACUGAAAUCCCACAAAUCACCACUGAAGAACUUACUCAUGUAACCAAAUACCACCUGUUUUCCAGAAACCUAUGGAAAUACAAAAUUUAAAAAGAAUUUUUUUAUUUCAUGUAUAAAUUAGAAAUGAAUUCACGUAUUCUGUACUGGAAAACUGUUAUUCUGUUAGGCAUUCUUCCAUGCACAGUCUCUAGUUAACCUACUAAAUUAUCAGCUCACUUUAUAUCUUUGACUUCCCCUAAAUAGUGUCUCCUUUCCCAACAUUUCAGAUAAGAGAAAGCUUGCUGCCCAGGCAGAAUCCCCUGAGCAGCUGCACUUGCCUCAUUCUCUGCAGCCCCGUCUGCUUUGUUGACCUUCCUCAAGACCUUUCAAUAUAAGUAUCUGAGGUUUUGUUUCCAAGUCUUUCUUCCAGACUAUGGAGUGCAGCUGAGAAAAAAAAUAUAUAUAUAAAGCUCAUUGACUCUCUAUCUAUUUCAUUCCCAACACUGGCUCAGUUUUACUCCCUAGGAAACUUCCUUACCAAUUGGUGAUGAAGAACAUUCCAAAUCUUCAUCACUUUUAUCAAGCCUAUCAUUGUGGGUAUUCUGCCUUUAUCUCUGCCCUAUCAGAGAAAAUAACAACAGCUACCAUCUAAUGAGCACUUGCUGCCAAACAUUUUACACAAAACAACACAAUAGAUCUUUUUAUUCCCUUUUUUUUUGUAGGUGAUGAACCAGAACUUCAGAGAGAAAAAGAAACAUACUCAAGGGCAUACAGCUCAUGCCUUCAUACAGCUCAUCAGACAUAUUCGAUUCAUGCCUCAUUAUCCUUUUUUCCCUUUAUUCUUUUAAAAUAUAAUAUUUGAUACAUACACAAAGAUAUAAUGUAUAAUGUACAAUCAGCCCUCAGUAUCCACAGGGAAUUGAUUCCAGAAUCCCCUGGGAUACCCAAAUCUGUGGAUGUUUGGGUUCCUUAUAUAAAAUGGUAUAGUAUUUGCAUUUCACCUGUGCAUAUUCUCUUGCAUAAUUUAAAUCAUCUCUAGGUUACUUAUAGUAACCAGUACAGUUUAAAUACUAUGUAAAUAGUCAUUUUACUGUAUUGUUUUAAAAAUUUGUGUUAUUUUUAUUGUUGUUUUAGUUUGUAUGUUUUUAAAUAUUUUUCAAUCUGUAGUCAGUUGACUCCAGGGAUGCAGAACCCAUGAAUAUGGAGGGCUGACCACAUAGAUAAUUAAAGCUAAAUAACACAAUGAAUGUUCAAAAUUCCAUCUUCUAAUGUAGAAACUAGAAUAUAACCAGCACUGUUGCACUUACCUAUGUUUUUCUCCCUUCUCUCACUCUGCGGCCUUCCCCAACUUUCUGAGCGGGAAAUUAAUAAAAUGAGUAGGAGAGUGCACAGUCCUGGAGAUAUUGCUUCACUAUGCGAAUCAAUCCUGGUCCUAGCAGUUUGGCACCACCCGGCGGUGAUUGUCCACUCCAACCUAAAUAUUGACGGGAUUGAUUCCGGGCCUGUAGUUGACUGGACGUCAGGAAAGCAGUAAUGAUUCCAGGAAAUUCCUAGCUAGAUAGUGCAAAUUUUGUUGGCCCAGUUUGGGAAUAUUGAAUGGGGCAAUUACUGAGCAAGCGGGAUUCGAACUCCACUUCUCCUGUGGAUUUUGUGCUAGUUUGCUGCCUGGCUGCCCUAUCUAUUAUGUACCCUAUUCCAUCCCCCAACCUCAGAACAAAAGCAAUAUUCCUCCUCCCUAUCUGUUCUACAUGUAGGAUAGAGUGGUGGAUGGGAGCGAAACAUCCAUUUUAUAGUUUUAGAAUUUAUGUUAUCCUGGAUAUAUUUCCAUAAGGUUAUACUAUAUUUAAGUAUUUGUAUAUAUUUUCUCUCUCCUUCCAUUAUAAUCUAGGCUUCAAAAAGGUAAGGAUUUUUAUGUUUUCUUCCCAGUGAGUAGAAGAGUCCCUAGCCUGCAGACACUCAAAAAUAGUUGUUGAAUAAGAUGAGUGAAUGAAUAUUGAAAUCUUCCAUUAUAUGGUAGAGUUGUCCAUUUCUUCCUGUAAUUCUAUCAAUUAUUGCUUUAUAUUUUUAAGGCUCUUUUAUCAAGCACAUACAAAACUGAAAUCAUUAAAGCUUCUUGGUGAACUUAGUUUUCCUUAAUAAUGUUUUGGGGUGAUUUGUUUUUGUUUUUAUAUUUUUGGUCAUAAACUUGUUUCAAUACUAAUAUUCCAUCAAGAUUUCUUUUGGUUAAUAUCUGUCAGGUAUAUCUUUUUACUAACUUUUUACUAUGUCCUUAUGUUUUAUGUCCCCGUAUUCUAAACAGUAUUUAGCUGGAUUUUUUAAAUACAACUGGACAAUCAACCAUUUAAUAGUGAGUUAAGUUUAUUUAUGAUUGUGAAUAUUAUUGAUGCUCAGUUUAUUUCUAAAUACCUUUAAAACCUGUUUAAUCUGUUUAUUGAUUAAAAAAUUAAACAGUUACAUUUCUAGAAGAUCCUUCUGUUUCUUUUUCUAAUAAUAUUUCUGUAGCCUUUUUUGUCUACUUAUCUUUAUAGUUCUGUUGUUUAUUUUUUUAAACAUUCUAUACCCAAUCCACCACUGGAAUAAAAUUAUAAUAUUUAUACUAUGUAAUAUUUAUACAAUGCUAAUAUAACUGGUACAUAUAUUAGGUAAACACAUAUAUGCCAGGUAUUCUUACAAAAUUAAUAAUAUAUUCUCUUUAACUCAGUGUAUUCAAAAUAUCAUCAUGCCAACCAGGUACUUUUUCUUUUUUUAAGACGGAGUCUCGCUCUGUCGCUGGAGUGCAGUGGCG